rnacentral:rRNA from 1 species
AUGAGUUAAGUAUAAACCCCUUUACAAGUAUCAAUUGGAGGGCAAGUCUGGUGCCAGCAGCCGCGGUAAUUCCAGCUCCAAUAGCGUAUAUUAAAGUUGUUGCAGUUAAAAAGCUCGUAGUUGGAUUUCUGUUAAUGAUUUAUAUAUAAUAUUUUAACGAUAUUUAUAUAAUAUUAACAUAAUUCACAUUACUAUUAUUAGUAUGUGAAAUUUUACUUUGAGAAAAUUAGAGUGCUUAAAGCAGGCAUUUGCCUUGAAUACUCCAGCAUGGAAUAAUACAAAAGAUUUUUAUCUUUUUUAUUGGUUCUAAGAUAAAAAUAAUGAUUAAUAGGGACAGUUGGGGGCAUUUGUAUUUAACAGUCAGAGGUGAAAUUCUUAGAUUUGUUAAAGACAAACUAAUGCGAAAGCAUUUGCCAAGGAUGUUUUCAUUAAUCAAGAACGAAAGUUAGGGGAUCGAAGACGAUCAGAUACCGUCGUAGU